CAUGGAGUUUGAUCCUGGCUCAGAAUGAACGCUGGCGGCAGGCCUAACACAUGCAAGUCGAGGGGUAUAGUUCUUCGGAGCUAGAGACCGGCGCACGGGUGCGUAACGCGUAUGCAAUCUACCUUUUACAGAGGGAUAGCCCAGAGAAAUUUGGAUUAAUACCUCAUAGUAUGUGAGAAUCGCAUGGUUUUCACAUUAAAGUUCCAACGGUAAAAGAUGAGCAUGCGUCCCAUUAGCUAGAUGGUAAGGUAACGGCUUACCAUGGCAACGAUGGGUAGGGGUCCUGAGAGGGAGACUCCCCCGACACUGGUACUGAGACACGGACCAGACU
rnacentral:rRNA from 1 species